rnacentral:rRNA from 1 species
UCGUACGGGGCCGCAAGGUACCCGUGGCGCAAGGGUGAGUAAUGCGACGGUAACCUACCCCGGGGCUGGCUAUAGCCGCGGGAAACUGCGGGUAAUCGCCAGCGACGCAAGCGGCCGGCAUCGGCGGCUUGCCAAAGGUGUGACUCCGCCCCGGGACGGGCCGUCGUGGUAUUAGGUUGUUGGCGGGGUGACGGCCCACCAAGCCUCUGAUGCCUACCGGGCGUGCGAGCGUGGCCCGGCACACUGGGACUGAGACACUGCCCAGACUCCUACGGGAGGCUGCAGUCGAGAAUCUUCGGCAAUGGGCGCAAGCCUGACCGAGCGACGCCGCGUGGAGGAUGAAGGCCUUCGGGUUGUAAACUCCUGUCGAGGGGAAAGAAGGGCCGGCGCAGAGCCGGUCUUGACUGAUCCCUGGAGGAAGCACGGGCUAAGUUCGUGCCAGCAGCCGCGGUAAGACGAACCGUGCGAACGUUAUUCGGAAUCACUGGGCUUAAAGCGCGUGUAGGCGGGCCGCCACGUCGGGCGCUGAAAUCCCCUGGCUCAACCGGGGAAUGGGCACCGAUACGAGCGGCCUCGAGGGGAGUAGGGGGACCUGGAACUUCCGGUGGAGCGGUGAAAUGCGUUGAGAUCGGAAGGAACGCCCGUGGCGAAAGCGAGGUCCUGGGCUUCUACUGACGCUGAGACGCGAAAGCCAGGGGAGCGAACGGGAUUAGAUACCCCGGUAGUCCUGGCCCUAAACGAUGGGCACUGGGUAGAGGGCUCGCCGAUGGGCUCUCUGCCGCA